GGUAGGAAGACACGCUAGAGCAGCAUGAGGUCCAUGAACGAUAUUAGAGCGUCCUCGUCGACCCUGUCGGGGGCGCCUAGCUUAACCAUGAGCAAACCGAGCUUGAACAACAGCAAGGCCAGCCUCACGCACAGCAGACAGAGUAUGAACGUUUCAGACGGGGAAGAGCGGCCACCGACCAGGGAGGAGCUGAUUGCCGAGUUCCUGGAUAAGGCAAAGUUUUACACCUCGCUCUGUUUAGGCACAACGGCAAUCCUGUCAGUGUUUGCGUUUCUCUUUCUGAUACCGUUCGUGGUGGAUCCCGCCAUAUCAACGAUCGUGGCCGACUACGAUCCCGUCCCGGUGACGUGCGUCGUGACGGACCAUGUGUACGCGGAAGGCAUGCGCAACUGUACGUGGAGUUCGUGUCGGGAAGGCUGCACGACUGCCGCCAUCCGGUGCCAUCAGCUGCUGGUGAACUACACCAAGAUCGCGUUCCACGAAUGGCACAAGCAUCCGCGAGAUCUCGACAGCAUCGAGUGGGACGUAAUGGAUACGAAGUUUCUCGUCAACACCGAAGGGUGCGGGUAUCCACCGCGGGUGAAUUGUUCCGAAUUCGCUAAACAGUACGGUUACUCCCACGUUGGGGAACCGUUCCCAUGCUACUACAGUCGUGCCUACCCGGAGAUAGUGGUUGCUCGCUACUCCUGGGAUGACAAUCUGAAGCACCUGAUACUGUCGCUGAUCAUACCGAACGUACUGUUCGCCGUGUCGAUCGGUGUGCUGAGCUACUGGUAUUGUCCUUGCUGUGAUAAAGCCUGCCACAAGUCGCCUCGAGUCUACGCGGAGAAGUAUCCUACGAAAGAGAACAAACUUCUAUGCCGUAGUGACGAUGAGGAAGACGAACUAGACUACUGAAUAAUAUAAAAAUACACCCACACACAAACACACACACACGCGCACACGGUCUCUCCUACUUCUGUCUUAAAAACAGACAAAAAACACACACCCACACAAGUAUAGAUUAAAAUUUUCACCAACCAGCAGCCAAAUGUUUGCGUUUUGAUAGUACACACUUUCACACAGUAUGUUUCAAUAUCUUGCUGUACUGGUUGAACAGAUUUGUCCAUUUUUCCCACAAAAAGUUUAUUUUUGUUUCAAACAUUUCGUUCACCCCAUACAACCCAACGUGACGCACGGCAUCACGCGGUUUUACGGUUUUUUGUCAAUUUUUCUGUUCCUUUUGCCUGAUGGUAUACACAUGCCAGCCCACUCUCGCGCCACACCGCUCUCGGCACCCGAGAGCAACACACGGGCCACGCGCCCCCCCCUCCUCCCCCGGCCCACCUCCAUCAGUGGGAUCCAUCGGCACACGUGAGAGGGUAUUGCAUACGCAUCGGCAAAACGCAACAGGACCGCAGGAUACUUUUGAGCGAUAGAAAGAGUCGUGGAAGAUUGAGUAUCCGCAAGAGUUCAUCAACAAAAUGUGAGCGUGCGUCACCCAUCACCGUGUGUCAUGAAGGGAGCAAUGGCGACGAGCCCUAUCGUUUAGGUUUUCCGGUCUCCCGGGCCAAAAGGACAGCACAACUAACACACACGGUCCCACACAUCAGGCAUCAUCCCACUUCGGCCAUCACCGCAUGCAUCACCGGCUUCAAAUGCUACCGUGUAAGCGCUAUAAAUGGUAGGCGCGAUCUAGGUAACACACCACCAGCGGGGAUCAAACAAAUCGCGUUUUACAGCACACCGUAUAGGAAUGAAAGUGUUAAGUUUAAAAAUCUCCUCUUUCCAAUUGGCGAACAAAACCGAAACCCACACACCUCACGCGUGUGUACACGUUUACACUAUGAACUGUUGAAUCAUACUUUCUAGCUAGAUAGGCACAGUGCGACACUGGUCGGGCAGAUGGGAAGAUUAUUCAGAUUAGCCGCGUACACUAUUUUUAACGGCGAAUGUUUCUAUUUUCUGUUACAUACUACUACUACCAGCAUCUACACUUCCCCCUCUCUCAAGGCAGUUUUUAUCCUUCCCACACGUUAUUGUUGUUGCGAUGCGAAAGCGAUGUUCCACGACACGAACCCCUCUUUAAACGCCUCCUCUAGGCUCGCCCGAAAAAACCGCAGAGGAUACGCACGCCGCCGCGCCAUGGUGGCGCGUAAGACGAAGCUAAUUUCGAUGUAUGUAUUUUUCUUUUUUCUUUUUUAAACAAACACGGCUUCAGAAUCAGAGCUCGCGAGGAAAAUACAAAGAAAUACAAAAGAUAACGAUAACGAGAUUAAAUCAACACUAUCGACAAAAAAAACAUGUGAAAAAUCUUGAAGAAAGGGGCUAAACCAGCUUAAUCAUUACAGAAGUAUGUCAAGACAACUCUUACGCGAAAAAAAAAGUCGAUGCCGUGAGUUUGAAAUGCUUUAUCGAUCAAUCUUUGAUAUGAAACCUAGCACAUCUAAAAACUUUGUACAUUUUUGAAUAAACCUAAUAUAUUUAUGAAAUAUAGAGCAAUGCUUGAAAGACAGAAUGAAAACGA